rnacentral:rRNA from 1 species
UUACGGCCACAUCAUAUUGAAACUCCGGUUCCCGUAGGAUAACCGAAGUUAAGCAACAUCGAAAUUGGUCAGUACUGAGAUGGGUGACUGCUUCGGAAUACCAGGUGUUGUAAU